rnacentral:rRNA from 1 species
GUAAAUGAGGAAUUUAUGGUCCACUUUUUAGUGUGUACUAAAAUCCUUAUUUCCUUCCUUUUGGAUAUACUCCCUUAAUUAAAUCCUUUUAAUGAGGGUAUCAAGGUAUUCAAAUCUUUUACUGUGAAGAAAUUAGAGUGUUCAAAGCAGGCGUAACCUAGCCUUUGAAUAUAUUAGCAUGGGAUAAUGAAAUAGGACUUUAGUUCUACUUUCGUUGGUUUCUAGGGCUGAAGUA